UGCCCAAUACGGGAUUCGAACCCGUGCCAUUCAAUCAAAAACCAACAGUUUAAACCACUACUCCACCAACCCAAC